AUGGACCACGCGUACACGGCGGCGUUGAGCACGCCGUUCCAUACCCACCUGACGACUGCUCGCGACGGUCUGUUCGCC
rnacentral:sRNA from 1 species